GCCCGCAUAGCUCAGUCGGUAGAGCAUCAGACUUUUAAUCUGACGGUCGCGGGUUUGUUUUCCUCUGUGGGCG
rnacentral:tRNA from 1 species